CCCCUCUUUUGGAGCCUCCAACCAACAGGCUGCCUACCUCUGAAACCUCCGAUCAACGGUUAGCCGUUCAGCUACUCACAGUUGCUUCCAACCACAGAUCUGAUGCUCCUCCUAAGCACUAUCACUGACGGUUCUUUUUACCACCUUCGUCGAUGGUCCCGCCCAACCACUGUAGUAAGCCAACACCGUUGUGAACACAGUUAUGGUAAGAAAAAG
rnacentral:lncRNA from 1 species